rnacentral:rRNA from 1 species
GAUCAUGGCUCAGGAUGAACGCUAGCUACAGGCUUAACACACGCAAGUCGAGGGGAAACGACAUCGAAAGCUUGCUUUUGAUGGGCGUCGACCGGCGCACGGGUGAGUAACGCGUAUCCAACCUGCCCACCACUUGGGGGAUAACCUUGCGAAAGUAAGACUAAUACCCAAUGACGUCUCUAGAAGACAUCUGAAGGAGAUUAAAGAUUUAUCGGUGAUGGAUGGGGAUGCGUCUGAUUAG